rnacentral:tRNA from 1 species
GCGGAUGUAGCUCAGUGAUAGAGCACUUGCCUAGCAUGUGGGAGGCCCUGAAUUCAAUUCUCAGUAUUGCA